UACGUAGGGGCCGAGCGUUGUCCAGAGUUAUUGGGCGUAAAGCGCGCGCAGGCGGCCUCGCGCGCCCGACGUGAAAGCCCCCGGCUUAACCGGGGAGGGUCGUUGGGGACGGCGGGGCUUGAGGGCGGGAGAGGGCGGUGGAAUUCCCGGUGUAGUGGUGAAAUGCGUAGAGAUCGGGAGGAACACCUGUGGCGAAGGCGGCCGUCUGGGCCGACCCUGACGCUGAGGCGCGAAGGCGUGGGGAGCGAACGGG
rnacentral:rRNA from 1 species